AGGAGGGAACACCUAAGCUCAUGGGGUCUCUGCUCAUCAGAGCCAUUAACCUGACCGCUCCAUGGGGUCUUCUAGGAGCAGCAAUGGUUUUUACAAAGUGGCUUACAUGAGAACAGCAAAGUGAUUUUUCGACACUCCAGCAUGGGUGAGAGGGUCUGGAGAAAAGUUCUGCGUGCUGCCACUACCAACCGAAGAGGUCAGGGUCUUCCAGUCUUCCCACAAUGUGUCCAAAUGCCUAUGCAACGGAAAGCAGAAGCUCCAGAAGCAGAACAAUUUCAUCAGCACCUUGCUGCACACACACAAAUGAUCUCUGUUUGGAUGCAGAUGUGGUGGCACUCUGUCUGUGCUUCCCUUCAGCUGAGCUGGCACCUCUGCAGAUCCCGGCUAUGCAGCAUGUGACAGUCUGUGCUCUGUUAGCUUCAGCUCAGCAGGGUCCUGCCCUGCUGUGCCAUGCACUACAGGUAGCGUGUCCAGCAUGA
rnacentral:lncRNA from 1 species